rnacentral:rRNA from 1 species
CACGUAGGCGGAUAUUUAAGUCAGGGGCGAAAUCCCAGAGCUCAACUCUGGAACUGCCUUUGAUACUGGGUAUCUUGAGUAUGGAAGAGGUAAGUGGAAUUCCGAGUGUAGAGGUGAAAUUCGUAGAUAUUCGGAGGAACACCAGUGGCGAAGGCGGCUUACUGGUCCAUUACUGACGCUGAGGUGCGAAAGCGUGGGGAGCAAACA